rnacentral:rRNA from 1 species
ACGGGGGGGGCAAGCGUUGUUCGGAAUUACUGGGCGUAAAGGGCGCAUAGGCGGCUUUUCAAGUCGGGCGUGAAAUCUCCAGGCUUAACCUGGAAGGGUCGUUCGAUACUGUUAAGCUAGAGUGUGGAAGAGGCUACUGGAAUUCCGUGUGUAGCGGUGAAAUGCGUAGAUAUACGGAGGAACACCGGUGGCGAAGGCGGUCUGCUGGGCGGUGGGGGCGCAAGCUCCCAAUAGCCGACACUGAGGCGCGACAGCGUGGGGAGCAAACAGGA